UACAAUAUAGAAUUAAUGCACUGAAUUCCAUUAUAAAUCUACAGUUAAGCAUUCUCAGGCUAGAGUAGUACUAGGAUGGGUGACUGCCCAGGAAUUCCUAGUGUUUUAC
rnacentral:rRNA from 1 species